rnacentral:lncRNA from 1 species
GAAAAGUAAGUUCAGAUUAAAGUUUUCGACGCCGAUUUAAAUAACUCUUUUUUCAGCACCAAAUCCAUCCAUAAAUGCAAUAACUAAAACGGACACAACUAUCACUCCAAUAACAAGGACUUCACCCAUUUCUUGUAAAAAUAAUAUUGGAGAUACGAAAUGCACACUUAUGAUAGUUCUAUGUCGUGUCAAUAAAUCAGUUAGAGAUAUUUGCCAACGGACUUGUGGCAUGUGUUCAAAUUAAACGGAAUUUUAUUUUAAUACCUGUAUCAUAAAUAUCAAGAAGAUGAAUUGUUUUGCAAAUAAAAAUUAAGUUUUUGUAA